rnacentral:rRNA from 1 species
AUAUCAAUAAGCGGAGGAAAAGAAACUAACAAGGAUUCCCCUAGUAACUGCGAGUGAAGCGGGAAAAGCUCAAAUUUAAAAUCUGGCGGUUUUGUCGCCCGAGUUGUAAUCUGGAGAAGCGUUUUCCGUGCCGGACCGUGUACAAGUUUCUUGGAACAGAGCGUCAUAGAGGGUGAGAAUCCCGUCCAUGACACGGACUCCCGGUGCUUUGUGAUACGCUCUCGAAGAGUCGAGUUGUUUGGGAAUGCAGCUCAAAAUGGGUGGUAAGCUCCAUCUAAAGCUAAAUAUUGGCGAGAGACCGAUAGCGAACAAGUACCGUGAGGGAAAGAUGAAAAGCACUUUGGAAAGAGAGUUAAACAGUACGUGAAAUUGUUGAAAGGGAAACGCUUGAAGUCAGUCGCGUCUUAUUUGACUCAGCCUUGCUUCGGCUUGGUGUAUUUCAAGUAGGAUGGGUCAACAUCGAUUUUGGCCGGUGGACAAGGGGUUAAGGAAUGUGGCACUCUUCGGAGUGUGUUAUAGCCUUUUCUCAUAUACAUCGGUUGGGAUUGAGGCCCGCAGCGCGCCCUUGUGGCCGGAGGUUCGCCUCACGUAACGCGCUUAGGAUGUUGGCAUAAUGGCUUUAAGCGACCCGUCUUGAAACACGGACCAAGGAGUCUAACAUGCUCGCGAGUGUUAGGGUGGAAAACCCUUGCGCGUAAUGAAAGUGAAAGUUGAGAACCUCCGCAAGGGGGUGCAUCGACGCCCGGCCCUGAAGUUUACUGACGGUGCUGCGGUAGAGCGCGUAUGUUGGGACCCGAAAGAUGGUGAACUAUGCCUGAAUAGGGCGAAGCCAGAGGAAACUCUGGUGGAGGCUCGUAGCGAUUCUGACGUGCAAAUCGAUCGUCAAAUUUGGGUAUAGGGGCGAAAGACUAAUCGAACCAUCUAGUAGCUGGUUCCUGC